rnacentral:lncRNA from 1 species
CGACGCGCACCGUCAGCAGGCGUGCGGCUGGCGGCAGCGGCGUGGACAGCGUGGUGGCAGCAGCCACCUGCACUCCGGCCUCUUCCCUUCACGCAGGGACCGGGCAGCUUUUCCCAAUCAACCGCUUCCCAGUCCAGCCGGCAGGGGAGGCGGGUAGCGUCCCAACAAAGGGAAAAUCCUCUCGCCGCCCCCGCCAUUGGCCCGUUAGCCCGUUAGCCCGUUAGCCGGCUUGGGCUCUUUGCGACCGUGAGCAGAACCAACCCCCCCCCCCCCCGUGACCUUGACCCACCUGUUGCUGUGAGGCUGGCGGCAGAGGGCGCUGGGGCCGGAAACCUCACACUCAGGCCCAGGUUUGCCCGGGACCCCGGGGUCUUUGUCUCCAGGUCCCUGAACCGCUACUGCCUCCAACUCCCACUCUCGGUCAGACCCCCGAGCAGCCUCAGGGUCCUGCCUGCAGGGUGGUCCCUUGCGGCCGGCACUGCCUGCCUGGACCUCCACGCCUUUGCUGGGCUCCUCCUCCGGACGCGGCUUCCGUGGGCCACUGCAGACACCCUUCGGGGCCCUUUCUGCUGGUUCUUGCUCUGGCUUCCUCGGGAGGCGAUUCUGAAGUCCCUCCCCAGUGAAGCCGUCGAUGUCACUGUCGGCGCUGUCACCCUGCUCAUCCCGACCUCUAGGCCUCACGCUCUCGGAGCCAGGCGCUGGUCCACGCUUCGUCUCAGAGCUGCUCUCGCUGCGCCCUUCCAGGGCGCUGUGCACAGGAGACCCUGGGCGGGACGCUGGCUCUCGGGAACCCUCCAGGGACACAGCCAGGGAGUCCCCUCUUCGCCACCAUCCUGUGCUCUGGGGCUCUCCGACCUGCUGGGGGAGCUUCGGCCGCCUCCCGCGAUGUUGCAGGGAGGGGCUGAGUGGCUGCUGCCGGGCAGGGUCCGCCUCGGUGUUCCCGGCGCCCUCCUGCUGUGUGAUCAUGGUCCUCCGGAUGCCCCCGGUCCUCCAGAACUCUUCCCUCAUGGGACUGAGGGCCUCAGGCGCAUCUGCAUUGCUCUCGUCCCCGGGGUCCUCCAUCCCUGUGUAAAAGGCAAUCACACCGUGACCACAGACCCCUGAGUGCCUCCUCAUGCCCAGGAGCCGGCACCCGCUGGAGGGAAAUAUGAAGGGCACUGAAAUAAAACAGGCUCCUUCUCACAAAGGUGCAGCUGUCCAUAAACCGCGGGCUUCUGACCUCCUCUCCUAAGCUGCGGUUGAGACGACUCUAGGGGACUCCUGAACUUCAGUACACAGCAAAUGCUCGGCAGAAAACUCUCCGGCCUCCAACGCCAUGUACAGUGUCCCGGCUUACACGCUUAGGACCUGCCUGGCCUACCCAAGGGAAGAAGUAAGGAAGGAAGCAGCAGGCCAAACAGGGACUGCACUUUACCUGCCCAGCACUGAGCAUGGAGACCAGGUCCUGGAACCCCGAACACAACACGAACCGAAUGAAGAAGCCGCUUGGUGCCCGCAGUGGCGAGGCCUCAGCUCUCCACAGUCAGUCACCACUCACAAGCGAGAGGACAGAGUUUCUCCUGUGGAGAGCUCCUGCAGGGAGAGAAGGACCUGCUACCGAUCCUAGGCAACACCAACAGUGACAAAUAAAAGGAGGUACCAAGCUUUCCAAGUUCUCCGUUAUUCCAGUGAUGGACACACAUCCAGGAGGUCUGGGAAUGGCCCGCAGGGUCUUUCCAGGACUCUGGCCAAUGGGAGACACGCCUGGUGCACUCAAGAGG